AGAGUUCGAUUCUGGCUCAGGACGAACGCUGGCGGCGUGCUUAACACAUGCAAGUCGAACGGAGCACCCCUGACGGAGUUUUCGGACAACUGAAGGGAAUGCUUAGUGGCGGACUGGUGAGUAACGCGUGAGGAACCUGCCUUUCAGAGGGGGACAACAGUUGGAAACGACUGCUAAUACCGCAUGACACAUCGAGGGGGCAUCCCUUUGAUGUCAAAGAUUUAUCGCUGAAAGAUGGCCUCGCGUCUGAUUAGCUAGUUGGCGGGGUAACGGCCCACCAAGGCGACGAUCAGUAGCCGGACUGAGAGGUUGACCGGCCACAUUGGGACUGAGACACGGCCCAG
rnacentral:rRNA from 1 species